rnacentral:rRNA from 1 species
GACGAACCGUGCGAACGUUGUUCGGAUUCACUGGGCUUAAAGGGCGCGUAGGCGGCUCGCCAAGUCAGGGGUGAAAUCUUUCGGCUCAACCGGAAAACAGCUUCUGAUACUGGCGGGCUGGAGGGAGGUAGGGGCGGAUGGAACUUCCGGUGGAGCGGCGAAAUGCGUAGAUAUCGGAAGGAACGCCGGUGGCGAAAGCGAUCCGCUGGACCUCCUCUGACGCUGAGGCGCGAAAGCCAGGGGAGCAAACGGG